GGGAGCCUGAGAAACGGCUACCACAUCCAAGGAUGGCAGCAGGCGCGCAAAUUACCCAAUCCCGACACGGGGAGGCAGUGACAAUAAAUAACAAUACGGGGUUCUUUCGGAUCUCGUAAUUGGAAUGAGUACAAUUUAAAUCUCUUAACGAGGAACAAUUGGAGGGCAAGUCUGGUGCCAGCAGCCGCGGUAAUUCCAGCUCCAAUAGCGUAUANNNAAGUUGUUGCAGUUAAAAAGCUCGUAGUUGAAUUUCGGGAUCAAUAUUUCGGUCAUGCCGUUGGUACGCACUGUUAUCAUUGAUUUCUCACCUUCUAAAGAACCGUAAUGCCAUUAAUUUGGUGUUACGGGGAAUUAGGACUGUUACCUUGAAAAAAUUAGAGUGUUUAAAGCAGGCUCACGCUUGAAUACAUUAGCAUGGAAUAAUGAAAUAGGACAUCCGAUUCUAUUUUGUUGGUUUCUAGGAUCACCGUAAUGAUUAAUAGGGAUAGUUGGGGGCAUUAGUAUUCAAUUGUCAGAGGUGAAAUUCUUGGAUUUAUUGAAGACUAACUACUGCGAAAGCAUUUGCCAAGGAUGUUUUCAUUAAUCAAGAACGAAAGUUAGGGGAUCGAAGACGAUCAGAUACCGUCGUAGUCUUAACCAUAAACUAUGCCGACUAGGAAUCAGACGAUGUUAAUUUUUUAAUGACUCGUUUGGCACCUUACG
rnacentral:rRNA from 1 species